rnacentral:rRNA from 1 species
UUUUGGACAAUGGGCGCAAGCCUGAUCCAGCAAUGCCGCGUGCAGGAAGAAGGCCUUCGGGUUGUAAACUGCUUUUGUACGGAACGAAAAGGCUCUGGCUAAUACCUGGAGCUCAUGACGGUACCGUAAGAAUAAGCACCGGCUAACUACGUGCCAGCAGCCGCGGUAAUACGUAGGGUGCGAGCGUUAAUCGGAAUUACUGGGCGUAAAGCGUGCGCAGGCGGCUAUGCAAGACAGGUGUGAAAUCCCCGGGCUUAACCUGGGAACUGCACUUGUGACUGCAUGGCUAGAGUGCGUCAGAGGGAGGUGGAAUUCCGCGUGUAGCAGUGAAAUGCGUAGAGAUGCGGAGGAACACCGAUGGCGAAGGCAGCCUCCUGGGAUGACACUGACGCUCAUGCACGAAAGCGUGGGGAGC